rnacentral:rRNA from 1 species
UACGUAGGUGGCAAGCGUUGUCCGGAAUUAUUGGGCGUAAAGCGCGCGCAGGUGGUUUCUUAAGUCUGAUGUGAAAGCCCACGGCUCAACCGUGGAGGGUCAUUGGAAACUGGGGAACUUGAGUGCAGGAGAGAAGAGUGGAAUUCCACGUGUAGCGGUGAAAUGCGUAGAGAUCGUAAGGAAGACCAGUGGCGAAGGCGAGUCUCUGGACAGUUACUGACACUGAGGCACGAAGGCCAGGGGAGCAAACGGG